ensembl:ncRNA lncRNA:CR44810 long non-coding RNA:CR44810
GAUUUACCAUCUGGCCAUCGUAGCAAAUGUCUCUAUUUCGCGUAGCUCGCUUGAUUUAUAACGGAAAAUUCGUUUAGGCAAAACAAAACGCUAAACAAUUUUUGUGGGCCACGUUAAUAAGCGCAACAUAACGAACAUAAUAUCUUAACUUGGUCAUCAGGCAGAGCAGACAGCCCAACAAAAGAAAAGGCAUCUUUAAAGCAGCAACAACAGCACUCGGCUUGGCCCAUUACAUAACCCCCACACUCGGCCACAGAUACACUCACAGAUGCAGAUACAGAUACAAGCGCAGAUACAUGCCGUUCCUACGAGAGCGGAGCCGAAUCUCAGCCAGCCAGAGCUUCAGCUGGCUUUUUAGCCUGGCUCCCCGAGUCUGCUUUUACACUAUGCGAUCGGUCCAACAUGAUGGCGUAUGGCGUAUGGCGUCGUCGAAAAGAAAAUAGUCAAUGUAUUGUGGAGGGAAAACAACAAAGCGCGAAGAAAAAGAUUGUGGUGCUACACUGCGAGAAGAGGGGCUAAAGUGAAUAUGUUGCAUAUUUUAGGUGGCAGGAGCUUGACUUGCACAGGAAAAAUUCAAAUACUUUGUGCUCAAAUAUCUUAAAAAUAUUCAUGACAGUUGGUUCUCCUUUUGCAGCUCAACUUUUCUUCGAGUGGAGCUAGAUGGGCCAUUGUUGUUGCGGCGGCUGUAUUAGAUAGCAAAAGUCAGUCUGCGUCGAAGUCGGAGUCGGCAUAGAAAGUGAAACCACCGCGUUGGCCACACGAUCGUCGUUGCCAGGCGAACGGCAGCACAAAGGAGAGGGAACGAAGCCCGGCUCUAAGAUAUAAGCCAAACAACUAACUAUUACUCAAUCUGUGCUAAAAAGAAAAAUAGAGAUAGAUGAAUAGAUUCGCUGCAGCUAAAGUCGAGAUGUUGGAGCCACAACAAUGCGGAGCGGACGAAGUGGAACUGGAGUGUGAAAGAUGGAUUGGAUGACAACGGAAUCGAGAUGGAUUGAAACCGGGAUCUGGAGCUGGAGCUGAAGCUGAUUGGAGGUCCAAUCUGCCAAGCUUAAGCUCGAUCAUGUAACCCAACAUCGUAUCUGUGAUUAGUGUUGAUUCCAUUGAUAUCCAGUUACUUUGGCAUAUGAUUCAAUAUAUUCUGUUUGG